rnacentral:rRNA from 1 species
GACGAACGCUGGCGGCGUGCUUAACACAUGCAAGUCGAACGAUGAAGCCUUCGGGUGGAUUAGUGGCGAACAGGUGAGUAACACGUGGGUAAUCUGCCCUGCACUCUGGGAUAAGCCUUGGAAACGAGGUCUAAUACCGGAUAUCACAGUCCUUCGCAUGGAGGGUUGUUGAAAGUUCCGGCGGUGCAGGAUGAACCCGCGGCCUAUCAGCUUGUUGGUGGGGUAAUGGCCUACCAAGGCGACGACGGGUAGCCGGCCUGAGAGGGUGACCGGCCACACUGGGACUGAGACACGGCCCAGACUCCUACGGGAGGCAGCAGUGGGGAAUAUUGCACAAUGGGCGAAAGCCUGAUGCAGCGACGCCGCGUGAGGGAUGACGGCCUUCGGGUUGUAAACCUCUUUCGCCAGGGACGAAGCGCAAGUGACGGUACCUGGAUAAGAAGCACCGGCUAACUACGUGCCAGCCGCCGCCGUAACAC